GUCCUCACUUCAAUAACACAUAAACGAAAAUUGCAAUGAUACAGAGAAGAUUAGCAUGGCCCCUGCACAAGGAUGACAUGCAAAUUUGUGAAGUGUUUCAUAUUUUU
rnacentral:snRNA from 1 species